UACGGAGGGUGCAAGCGUUAUCCGGAUUCACUGGGUUUAAAGGGUGCGUAGGUGGGUUGGUAAGUCAGUGGUGAAAUCUCCAGGCUUAACUUGGAAACUGCCAUUGAUACUAUCAAUCUUGAAUACCGUGGAGGUCAGCGGAAUAUGUCAUGUAGCGGUGAAAUGCUUAGAUAUGACAUAGAACACCAAUUGCGAAGGCAGCUGGCUACACGAAUAUUGACACUGAUGCACGAAAGCGUGGGGAUCAGACAGG
rnacentral:rRNA from 1 species